GACAGAGGGUGCAACCGUUGUUCGGAAUUACUGGGCGUAAAGCGCGUGUAGGCGGCCCUGCAAGUCGGAUGUGAAAUCCCACGGCUCAACCGUGGAAGUGCAUUCGAAACUGCAGGGCUAGAGUCCUGGAGAGGAAGGUGGAAUGCUUGGUGUAGAGGUGAAAUUCGUAGAUAUCAAGCGGAACACCGGUGGCGAAGGCGGCCUUCUGGACAGUGACUGACGCUGAGACUCGAAAGCGUGGGGAGCAAACAGG
rnacentral:rRNA from 1 species